rnacentral:lncRNA from 1 species
GGCAACACACAACAAACUCAGCACCUUCAAAGGAACAUUCUAUGCAUACAUCCAAUUAAUAGCAUUGUUCCUUUCUGUGCAUGCUUUAUUCAAAAGAACUUUUUUCUUGUUUGCAGUCAUGUGCUAUGAUAGCACUAUAGAUAAAAAGAAUAUGAGAGAUCACAAUUUGAAAAUCCACAUUAGGGCAUCAAAUAUUUCCAAAAUAAUCAACAUUAGAAAAAGAAGAGCCACUGUUGUAGGCCA